rnacentral:hammerhead_ribozyme from 1 species
AUCUAGCUGACGAGUCCCAAAUAGGACGUAACGAGUGUCCUGGAU